rnacentral:tRNA from 1 species
GCCGGUGUAGCUCAGGGGUAGAGCAACGGUUUUGUAAACCGUCGGUCGUCAGUUCAAAUCUGUCCACCGGCU